GUCGAGAAUCUUUCACAAUGGGGGCAACCCUGAUGGAGCGACGCCGCGUGGAGGAUAAGGUCUUCGGAUUGUAAACUCCUGUCAUGCGUGAACAAGGUUGCUUGGUUAAUACCUGGGCAAAUUGAUGGUAACGCAAGAGGACGAGACGGCUAACUCUGUGCCAGCAGCCGCGGUAAUACAGAGGUCUCAAGCGUUGUUCGGAAUCACUGGGCGUAAAGGGUGCGUAGGUGGCGUGGUAAGUCAGAUGUGACAGCCCGGGGCUCAACCUCGGAACUGCAUCCGAGACUGCCAUGCUGGAGUACUGGAGAGGUGACUAGACUGCUCGUUGUAGCAGUGAAAUGCGUAGAUAUCGAGAGGAAUACCAAAGGCGUAGGCAGGUCACUGGACAGUUACUGACACUGAGGCACGAAGGCCAGGGGAGCGAACGGGAUUAGAAACCCUGGUAGUCC
rnacentral:rRNA from 1 species